GUUGAUAAGGUUAAGUGAAUAAGGGCGCACGGUGGAUGCCUUGGCACUAGGAGCCGAUGAAGGACGGGACUAACACCGAUAUGCUUUGGGGAGCUGUACGUAAGCUAUGAUCCAGAGAUUUCCGAAUGGGGGAACCCAACAUCUUUAAUAGGAUGUUACGAUUGUGUGAAUACAUAGCACAUUCGAGGUAGACGCAGAGAACUGAAACAUCUAAGUACCUGCAGGAAGAGAAAGAAAAUUCGAUUCCCUGAGUAGCGGCGAGCGAAACGGGAAAAGCCCAAACCAGCAAGCUUGCUUGUUGGGGUUGUAGGACUCCAAUAUGGUAGUUCUUUCAGAUAGUCGAAUGACUUGGAAAAGUCAGUCAAAGAGGGUAAAAACCCCGUAGACGAAAUGUGGAAGACACCUAGGAGGAUCCUGAGUACGGCGGAACACGAGAAAUUCCGUCGGAAUCCGGGAGGACCAUCUCCCAAGGCUAAAUACUCCCUAGUGACCGAUAGUGAACCAGUACCGUGAGGGAAAGGUGAAAAGCACCCCGGAAGGGGAGUGAAAUAGAACCUGAAACCGUGUGCCUACAACAAGUCAAAGCCCGUUAAUGGGUGAUGGCGUGCCUUUUGUAGAAUGAACCGGCGAGUUACGAUUGCAUGCGAGGUUAAGUUGAAGAGACGGAGCCGCAGCGAAAGCGAGUCUGAAUAGGGCGUUUGAGUAUGUAGUCGUAGACCCGAAACCAUGUGAUCUACCCAUGUCCAGGUUGAAGGUGCGGUAAAACGCACUGGAGGACCGAACCCACGUACGUUGAAAAGUGCGGGGAUGAGGUGUGGGUAGCGGAGAAAUUCCAAACGAACUUGGAGAUAGCUGGUUCUCUCCGAAAUAGCUUUAGGGCUAGCCUCGGAAUUGAGAAUGAUGGAGGUAGAGCACUGUUUGGACUAGGGGCCCAUCUCGGGUUACCGAAUUCAGAUAAACUCCGAAUGCCAUUCAUUCAUAUCCGGGAGUCAGACUGUGAGUGAUAAGAUCCAUAGUCGAAAGGGAAACAGCCCAGACCACCAGCUAAGGUCCCAAAAUAUAUGUUAAGUGGAAAAGGAUGUGGGGUUGCACAGACAACUAGGAUGUUGGCUUAGAAGCAGCCACCAUUUAAAGAGUGCGUAAUAGCUCACUAGUCGAGUGACCCUGCGCCGAAAAUGUACCGGGGCUAAACAUAUUACCGAAGCUGUGGAGUACACCUUUAGGUGUAUUGGUAGGAGAGCGUUCUAAGGGCGUUGAAGGCAGAUCGUGAGGACUGCUGGAGCGCUUAGAAGUGAGAAUGCCGGUAUGAGUAGCGAAAGACAGGUGAGAAUCCUGUCCACCGAAUGACUAAGGUUUCCUGGGGAAGGCUCGUCCGCCCAGGGUUAGUCGGGACCUAAGCCGAGGCCGACAGGCGUAGGCGAUGGAUAACAGGUUGAUAUUCCUGUACCCGUUGUUUUUGUUUGAGCAAUGGAGGGACGCAGGAGGCUAAGGAAUGCAGACGAUCGGAAAUGUCUGUCCAAGCAGUAAGUCUGAAGAGGAGUCAAAUGCUUCUUUUCUUAAGGACAAGCUGUGAUGGGGAGGGAAAUAAUAGUACCGAAGUUCCUGAUGUCACACUGCCGAGAAAAGCUUCUAGUGAGAAAACAGCGGCCCGUACCGCAAACCGACACAGGUAGUCGAGGAGAGAAUCCUAAGGUGAGCGAGAGAACUCUCGUUAAGGAACUCGGCAAAAUGACCCCGUAACUUCGGGAGAAGGGGUGCUGAUCAUACGAUCAGCCGCAGUGAAUAGGCCCAAGCGACUGUUUAUCAAAAACACAGGUCUCUGCAAAAUCGUAAGAUGAAGUAUAGGGGCUGACGCCUGCCCGGUGCUGGAAGGUUAAGAGGAGUGCUUAGCGCAAGCGAAGGUACGAAUUGAAGCCCCAGUAAACGGCGGCCGUAACUAUAACGGUCCUAAGGUAGCGAAAUUCCUUGUCGGGUAAGUUCCGACCCGCACGAAAGGCGUAACGAUUUGGGCACUGUCUCAACGAGAGACUCGGUGAAAUUUUAGUACCUGUGAAGAUGCAGGUUACCCGCGACAGGACGGAAAGACCCCAUGGAGCUUUACUGUAGUUUGAUAUUGAGUGUCUGUACCGCAUGUACAGGAUAGGUAGGAGCCGUAGAAAUCGGAACGCUAGUUUCGAUGGAGGCGCUGGUGGGAUACUACCCCUGCGUUAUGGCCACUCUAACCCGCACCACUAAUCGUGGUGGGAGACAGUGUCAGAUGGGCAGUUUGACUGGGGCGGUCGCCUCCUAAAAGGUAACGGAGGCGCCCAAAGGUUCCCUCAGAAUGGUUGGAAAUCAUUCGAAGAGUGUAAAGGCAGAAGGGAGCUUGACUGCGAGACCAACAAGUCGAGCAGGGACGAAAGUCGGGCUUAGUGAUCCGGUGGUUCCGCAUGGAAGGGCCAUCGCUCAACGGAUAAAAGCUACCCUGGGGAUAACAGGCUUAUCUCCCCCAAGAGUCCACAUCGACGGGGAGGUUUGGCACCUCGAUGUCGGCUCG
rnacentral:rRNA from 1 species